AGAGUUUGAUCUUGGCUCAGAACGAACGCUGGCGGCAGGCUUAACACAUGCAAGUCGAACGCGUGUAGCAAUACACGAGUGGCGCACGGGUGAGUAACACGUGGAUAUCUGCCUUUUGGUUCGGAAUAACCCUGGGAAACUAGGGCUAAUACCGGAUGGUUCCUACGGGAUAAAGAUUUAUCGCCAAAAGAUGAGUCCGCGUCCGAUUAGCUAGUUGGUGAGGUAAUGGCUCACCAAGGCGACGAUCGGUAGCUGGUCUGAGAGGACGAUCAGCCACACUGGGACUGAGACACGGCCCAGACUCCUACGGGAGGCAGCAGUGGGGAAUAUUGGACAAUGGGGGCAACCCUGAUCCAGCCAUGCCGCGUGAGUGAUGAAGGCCUUCGGGUUGUAAAGCUCUUUUGGCGGGGACGAUGAUGACGGUACCCGCAGAAUAAGCCCCGGCUAACUUCGUGCCAGCAGCCGCGGUAAGACGAAGGGGGCUAGCGUUGUUCGGAAUUACUGGGCGUAAAGCGCGUGUAGGCGGUUGUUCAAGUCAGGUGUGAAAGCCUUGAGCUCCACUCAAGAAAUGCACUUGAUACUGGAUGACUAGAGGACCGGAGAGGAUAGUGGAAUUCCCAGUGCAGUGGUGAAAUACGUAGAGAUUGGGAAGAACACCAGUGGCGAAGGCGGCUAUCUGGACGGUUACUGACGCUAAGACGCGAAAGCGUGGGGAGCAAACAGGA
rnacentral:rRNA from 1 species